rnacentral:rRNA from 1 species
AUUGAACGCUGGCGGCAGGCUUAACACAUGCAAGUCGAGCGGGGGAAGGUAGCUUGCUACCGGACCUAGCGGCGGACGGGUGAGUAAUGCUUAGGAAUCUGCCUAUUAGUGGGGGACAACAUCUCGAAAGGGAUGCUAAUACCGCAUACGUCCUACGGGAGAAAGCAGGGGAUCUUUGGACCUUGCGCUAAUAGAUGAGCCUAAGUCGGAUUAGCUAGUUGGUGGGGUAAAGGCCUACCAAGGCGACGAUCUGCAGCGGGUCUGAGAGGAUGAUCCGCCACACUGGGACUGAGACACGGCCCAGACUCCUACGGGAGGCAGCAGUGGGGAAUAUUGGACAAUGGGGGGAACCCUGAUCCAGCCAUGCCGCGUGUGUGAAGAAGGCCUUAUGGUUGUAAAGCACUUUAAGCGAGGAGGAGGCUACUUUAGUUAAUACCUAGAGAUAGUGGACGUUACUCGCAGAAUAAGCACCGGCUAACUCUGUGCCAGCAGCCGCCGUAA